rnacentral:rRNA from 1 species
UACGUAGGGUGCGAGCGUUAAUCGGAAUUACUGGGCGUAAAGCGUGCGCAGGCGGCUUCUCAAGUCAGGUGUGAAAGCCCCGGGCUUAACCUGGGAAUUGCGCUUGAAACUGGGGGGCUGGAGUGUGGCAGAGGGAGGUGGAAUUCCUGGUGUAGCGGUGAAAUGCGUAGAUAUCAGGAGGAACACCGAUGGCGAAGGCAGCCUCCUGGGCCAACACUGACGCUCAGGCACGAAAGCGUGGGGAGCAAACAGG